rnacentral:rRNA from 1 species
AUGGUCUUCUGGCAGAAGCGCGGGUGGGGCUGCGGGUGCACCUGGACCAAGGUUGCCCUCUGGUUGGCGUUCCUGCUCCUCGCCGGGGGCCUCAUCGUCCCCUUCGUCGUCAUCAAGCCGCCGACCGCCACCGCCGACUACGGCUUCCUCACCCGCUUCGAGCUCUCCCCGUCCCCAAACUCCACGGCGAAGAAGCCGCUCCUCCAGCUCCUGUCGUACAACGCCAUGGUGCACAUUGCCCUGCCCAACCCCAACCUGUACCGGGGCAUCACGUGUCGCGCCCUCGCGGCCCUCUCCUUCAACGGCACCCGCUUCGACGAGUCCAGUGCCGUGGGGGUGGAGGACCUCUACCUCGACGCACAGGAGGAGAAAACGGUACGCCUCGAGGUCGCCGGGGUCGACCGCAAGCUGACGGCGGCCGGUGCGGCGGAGUUCGCCAGGCAGAAGGAGGCCGGCACGUUCGAGGUGGAGGUGCGGCUGGACGCGGUGGUGCGGUACGACAUGGCCCGCAAGACGUGGUGUCCCCUGGAUAUUAAGGCCUAG